rnacentral:misc_RNA from 1 species
UCAUUUUUAUUGAAUAAAUAAAAGUAAUAAAUAAGCAAAAUUUUCAUUUUUAUCUAUUUUCAAUUGAAUUUAAAUUGAAAAAAAAAAACUUCAUAAAAGAUUAGGAAAAGUAAAAGUAUAUGAUAUAGAAACCUAUAAUAUAAAUGAAUUCAAAUAAAAACAAACAAAUCGAACCAAACUAUAAAAAGUACUUGUUAUUUUUAAAGUUUAAAGAAACUAUGUAAGGCAAAUAGUACUAAAUAAAAAAAAGGAGCAAUAACGCCCUCUUGUUUUAUCAAGAGGGAAGCUAUUGCUCCUUUUUUAGUUCAAAAACUCCUAUACAAUCAGACCAAAGUC